rnacentral:rRNA from 1 species
GACGGAGGAUGCAAGCGUUGUCCGGAAUCAUUGGGCGUAAAGAGCGUGUAGGCGGCUCGAUAAGUCUGCUGUGAAAACUCGAGGCUCAACCUCGAGCUGUCGGUGGAAACUGUAAGGCUAGAGUCCGGAAGAGGAGAGUGGAAUUCCUGGUGUAGCGGUGAAAUGCGCAGAUAUCAGGAAGAACACCCGUGGCGAAGGCGGCUCUCUGGGACGGUACUGACGCUGAGACGCGAAAGCGUGGGGAGCGAACAGG